AGACUUUAAACAUUGUCAUAUUAACUUCUUUUAUAAUACAUUUGUGCUCCUUUUUGAAGCUCAUUCGUUCGUGGUAAGUGCAGGGAUAAAGUAAUCUUCCCUUUAUCCUUUUGCACCGAAAUGAGAGCGGGUUGAUGUCUUUGCCAGUUUGAAGUAUAGUUAAAGGAUAUGUCAGCAGCUGAUAUAGACAAGUGUUAGGCACUGGAGACAAAUUGAGGACAUUGUAGAGACCAUUUUCCCCUUUGUGCUGAAACUGAAUUAAUCGUCUGUCUCAAAAUGAGCAGCGUUGCAGCCCAAUACUCAGGGUGCUUUGUCGUCACUAUCUGGGGCAGCAGCCACCACAUGCUUGGCUGCUUCGCCCACCGCCUCCCGCAUGCCCCGCUGUGACUCACACGGGACGAGACGUUCAGCAGCAGAACAAUCUGUGUGUGUGUGUGUGUGUGUGUGAGAGAGAGAGAGAGAGAGAGAGAGAGAGAGAGUGUGUGUGUGUGUGUUUGUGUGUGUGAACAAGCCACAGAAAAACAAAUCUUGCACAAUGGCUGUUUGUCACUUUGGGAGAAAGGAAUAGGCCAGCCAAAAGAUGUGUUUGUGUUGGUGUGUGUGAGACUGAGAGAUACUUUUAUAGAAGAGUUCGACGUCUCAAUAACAGGAUGCAGCAUUUGCUCACAGUGUUGUCGACAGGUGAAAGCUCUUUUAUGAGCUUGUUUUGCAGCAUGCAUCUUUGAUUGCACAAUGAAUGAAGGACAUUCAGACAGGCAUGCUGGUCUGAUUGACUUGACUGGAAUGUGCAUUGCUUUUCUUCUGUCUGAGAUUUCUCCAAAUUCACUGAUGUUACAGAAGCUUCUUUAUUAGGAAAUCAACAAUGAACCAGCUGCAGUGGACCCUUUGCUUAUCAAUACCUAUUUUGGCUAUAUGGGAUUCUUAUAUUCCUAUGGUUCUCCAGGGGCUAAAAUGUUGAAUUUGAGGUUCUUUAGAUCAGUGAAGGUGUAAUGGUUUUCUAAAGAAAUAGAGAAUUAAAAGCUCUGGCUCGUUCUCAAAAUAUGGUAACAAGCGACUUUUCAGCGAUUAAAGAGAUAUAGAAUAUUCAGGAAAUAUAAAAAAAGCACAAUUCUAUAAUCUAUCUAUCAAAUACGAAAUAAAAAAUACAAUUCUAUUGACUUACAGCACUUACAAAGUUGUAUUUAUAUUAACUGUAUAUGUGAUUUACUAAAAAAACAUUUGUUUAUUUACUUAUCUCCCGACCCACAUGCUUAUAAAAAAAAAAAAUCAAAGAAUAGUAUAAAAAAUAAUAUGACUUAUACAAUUAUAUACCCUAACAUUUUUAUCAAAUAUGGAAUGGCUCGACUCUGUAUAUAUGUAUGUAUGUAUGUGUGUUUGUUUUUUCUACUUUCAUACCAACUUCCAAAAAUAAAAUAAAAUAAAAAAUUCAAAUAAUAAAACAAUACAACCUAAUAUUUGAUAAAAUAUGAAAAGGUUUGAUUCCGUAUCGAUUUAUAUAUUAUUUAUUUAUUUAUUUUGAACUAUCGGUGUUAUUUUAUUUAUUAUUAUAUUGUAUUUUUACUCAUUUGUUUAGGGUAAGUAUUAGUGGAAGGAGUGUAAAAGUGUGCAAAAAACAAAAACAAAAUAAUAAUGCAGAUAAUUGUGUGUUUGUCCUUUUUUUCCAAGCCAUUGGUUUUGUCAACAUUAAAAAGUAGUAUUCAUUUUAUCAAAAUUGUUCUUUUAUUGGAAAGAAAAAAUGAACUGAAUGAACUGACAAUAAGUCAACAUUUUCUGAGAAUAACUCUUUUGGAUUAUACAUAUAUGUGCUCAUGCAUCCCAAAGCUCCUACAACAGUUGUCUACUCCUUAAGUCUGUUGCCUAGUAUGAGUUUAUUAAACAGAACCAAAAGGAAUCAUGACGCAGCUCUGUAAGACUUUCCCAUGACAAGCUCAAAAGCAAUGGUUCAUUAGGUAAAAUGGACGAAAAUAGAAUUGGCCAUCCAUAUUUUCCAUCCAUUUCUUCAGUUAUCCGUGUACUUCUGUCAUGAUUAAUUGGCAGAUCUGACUGAAUGUGGACGAUGAACAAUAAAAUGUGUCUCAAUGUAAAAUACAAAUUUGGAGACACUUUCUCCAUUGCAUUAAGCAUAUUACAACCACAAUUUUGAUAGGUCUGCUUUUUUCAGAAAGGUGGUUCUGAGCUGGAAUAUUUGAGAGAAGUUAAAAAAAUGUCUGACCAGAGUGCAGUUUGGCCAGAAGGGGUUUCUCUGCACUGCGAAAAGGAGCUUGUUGCCUGACUGCAGGGUGCCAGACCUGGAGGGGAAGGGCCUGCUGUGAGAAGAUUAGUGCUGUUCACUCUGGCCCUUAUUUCAAAGCCCUGUCCCUCCCAGCUGCAGAUUCACUGCCAGUUCAGCGCUGAUCCACACUUCCCAUGGAUUUACAGCUGCAAGACUAAUCAAUACUGGGCUUCCAUGAUUCUAAACUCUCCCUCUUCUACAGGAACUGUACAUCACCUCUUCAUCUGAAACAAGAGAGCUCCUCUUGGAGUGCACUUUAGCACUUGUGCUCAGCUUGAUGGUUUGGUAUGCCAUACACAAUGUCUUAUGCGAUUUCACACUAACUGCUGCUGCUGACACACAUUUGUAGUGUACUGUUAAUGCUAACAAUAUCAGAUGCAUCCCAUUCAACCAUAGCUCACUUACUUAUCAGUGAACCAAUUCACUGAAACAAGCUCAAAAAAGACUUUAAAUCUUCAGUAUUCUGUAUGAAGUGACAUGAAUUGACCUAAAUCAUAUAUUUUCAGGUACUUUUUUUCAAUAUUCUUGCACGAAUUAAGCCCUCCACUUAAAAAAAUUUGAUCAAAAGUAGUCAUAGGGGAUAAAUUUGAGAGAUGCAUUAAUACCAAGAUCUUUAAUGUGUCUCAAAAGACCAUUUGUGAUCACACAACCGAUACAGAUGUAAACAGCUAGAACCUCUCCUCCCAGUGUGAAUUCAGCAGAUGAAAACCUCCAUCAGACACAUGAAAUCCACAACUCCUAAAUCAAGACUACCAUGCUUAUUUGCCUUCUGGCAUCUAGAUGUUGGCGUUCGGAUCCAACGGUCGGGAAAUUGAGUGAGGAGAUACACAGAGGAUUGGGUCUUGUUGGUGUCAGUGGCGGUUGGUGCAGAGAUUGCUGGUGCUUGCUCUGUUUGCUGCAGUGAGGUUGACACUGAUAAAGUGGACUUUGCUCUCGUCUCUCCAGGGAAACGGAGGGGCAUUUAAAGAAAUGCUGUCUGGGUAGUUAACACAGAUCUUCACUGUGCUGAGACUACAAACCUCUAAAAAAAAAAAGAAAAGAUCUGCAUGAACAUUCUUCAGAGUUCCUCCUUUGGUGUUCCACAGAAAAAAUAACAGCCUGCAAAUUUGGAUUGAUAUGAGGUCUUGAAGGAGUUCCCUGAGAGAUGCUUAGCACUUGUUGGCCCUUUUGCCUUCUGUCUGCGGUCCAGCUCACCCCUAAACCAUCUGGAUUGGGUUCAGGUCCGGUGACUGUGGAGGCCAGGUCAUCUGGCGCAGCACCCCAUCACUCUCCUUCUUGGUCAAAUAGCCCUUGAUGCCUUCAGUGUGACUCUACAAUUUUCAUAGUCAUGAAAAUAAAGAAAACUUUUUGAAUGAGAA